rnacentral:rRNA from 1 species
GUCGAGAAUCUUCCGCAAUGCGCGAAAGCGUGACGGAGCGACACCGCGUGAUGGAUGAAGUCCUUCGGGGCGUAAACAUCUUUUAUAAAGGAGGAGAUUUUUGACGUUACUUUAUGAAUAAGGGGCUCCCAAUCUCGUGCCAGCAGGAGCGGUAAUACGAGAGCCUCAAGCGUUAUCCGGAAUCAUUGGGCGUAAAGGGUGCGUCGGUGGUUUGAUUAGUCUCCCGUUAAAACUUCGAGCUUAACUCGAAAAGAGCGGGGGAAACGGUCAAACUAGAGUAUGUGAGAGGUGUGUGGAACUCAUGGUGUAGGGGUGAAAUCCGUUGAUAUCAUGGGGAACACCAAAAGCGAAGGCAGCACACUGGCACAUCACUGACACUGAGGCACGAAACCUAAGGUAGCGAAUGGGAUUAGAUACCCCUGUAGUCC